rnacentral:rRNA from 1 species
GACGAACGCUGGCGGCGUGCUUAACACAUGCAAGUCGAACGGAAAGGCCCUGCUUUUGUGGGGUGCUCGAGUGGCGAACGGGUGAGUAACACGUGAGUAACCUGCCCUUGACUUUGGGAUAACUUCAGGAAACUGGGGCUAAUACCGGAUAGGAGCUCCUGCUGCAUGGCGGGGGUUGGAAAGUUUCGGCGGUUGGGGAUGGACUCGCGGCUUAUCAGCUUGUUGGUGGGGUAGUGGCUUACCAAGGCUUUGACGGGUAGCCGGCCUGAGAGGGUGACCGGCCACAUUGGGGCUGAGAUACGGCCCAGACUCCUACGGGAGGCAGCAGUGGGGAAUAUUGCACAAUGGGCGGAAGCCUGAUGCAGCAACGCCGCGUGCGGGAUGACGGCCUUCGGGUUGUAAACCGCUUUCGCCUGUGACGAAGCGUGAGUGACGGUAAUGGGUAAAGAAGCACCGGCUAACUACGUG